CCGCGCUAGACGGGGAGGUAGCGGUGCCCUGCACCCGCAAUCCGCUAUAGCGGGGUUGAAUUCCCGGUUGAGGGAAUGCGGCUUUCGAGUGAUCGGCAGCGGGAAGUGACGUUGAUAGUAAGGAGCCGUGCAAUAGGAACCUGCCAACCCCGUCAGGACCGGGAGGUAGCAGCGGUAAGCAGUUAUUCUUAUGUGAUGCGGUGACCCUUACUGGAGUUAACCUCGCUGAUGGAGCCGGGAGCCCUUCUCGAUGCCGCGGGCGCGG
rnacentral:SRP_RNA from 2 species